rnacentral:lncRNA from 1 species
CUACUGAAGCCUCUUUUCGCCUGGCUUCAGAUGAAGUCAGUUAAGUAUCUCUCUUCUGCAUCUCUCUUUCUUGGAGCAGGAAGAAGAAAUGCACAGCACCCUGCCCCUCUAUCCACAUCUCUUCAAACUCUAACACUUCCCAUCCUCUGAAACAGUCUGGGAGUCGGUCCUGGGCUCACGGCAGCAGAAUGGGGACAUCCUGAGGAGCAGCUUGAGGUUGGAAUGCUUGUAUAACGCUGUGAAAUAGAGUCAAGACAACUGUACCCUGGAGAUCUGAACAUGCAGCUUUAGCCUCACUGGCUUCAUGCUCAUACUGCAGAGAGCGGUCUGGAGUGAGACCUGAGAUUCUGCAUUUCUAACAAGCUCCCAAGUGAUGCAAAUGCUGCUGGUCCUUGAACCACACUUUGCACAACUCUAAUCUUGGAAACUACUACAGUCUAAGGAGUCCAGUCUCCUUCUAGUGGAGAAAAAUAUCAAAGACUCAAAUCUGAGCAUUGUGCUGAACCUUCUCUGUUGGGCUCCUGGACCUCCACAAAGGCUCUGUCAUCUGCAGAUGAUUGUCUUAAAUCAGUGUUCUCCAGGAGCUCCUGGACUUUGGCUGAGAGAAGC